CUUCUCCGCCGGCGACCGGCGCACGGGUGAGUAACACGUAUGCAACCUGCCCCUGUCAGGGGGACAACCCGCCGAAAGGCGGGCUAAACCCGCGUACAUGCCACCGGGGCAUCCCGGAGGCAGGAAAGGCUUUCGGGCCGGACAGGGAUGGGCAUGCGGCGCAUUAGGCAGUAGGCGGGGUAACGGCCCACCUAACCGACGAUGCGUAGGGGUUCUGAGAGGAAGGUCCCCCACACUGGUACUGAGACACGGACCAGACUCCUACGGGAGGCAGCAG
rnacentral:rRNA from 1 species